ensembl:lncRNA
UUAGAAUUAAUUUGUGCAUAUAGUACUUAGACCCAUUAGCAAGAAUUGAACGGAUAAUUACAUUAAGCUAGAGUUGCUCACCAAAAUUUUAAGCAAACAUCUGAUCCAACCUGCAAACCAGCACCUCCACUGUUGGCCAGGAUUCAGAACAAGCUGCAGAGAUUAGGAUGUGACAUACCUACAAAGCUAGUUAGCUCUUCCUACCUAUGCCUGUUUCUGCAAGAUGAACUGGACUGCAUCUCACUUUCAUGUGCCAUGGUCAACAAUUUCAAGUGAAAACUGAGCUGACUUUGCCAAAUACUCAUUCAAGAAAGAAAAAUUCAUUUAGCAGGCAGUACCUGGGGAAAUGCAAGAAGCUUUUAGGAAACAACACCUACCUUCCAGCCCAUGGCUUUCUUACAGGUGGCCGUAUACUGUGAUUGCUGCUGUUUGUAACAGUGUCUGAACGAUUUGUUUGUAGCUUCCUCCUCAUUCUGAACAAUCCAAUCCUGCAAUUAAAAAAAACAGAGUAAGACAAAAGGAGCAUUACACCAGUAAAGUACGUUAGUGACCAAUUCACGUGCCAGACCCAUAGAAUUCAGUUUUGUUUUUAAAAUAGAAACAAUCCUAAGGAUAUAAACUAGCUGUACUAAUUAAACAUGCUGAAAAUUAGGCAUAACAUUUCUGACAAGGGCCUAGAAUAAAUGUCCUUGUUUUCAGUACUCUCUCCAGAUAUACUGCAUCUAUUAAGCAGGAUCACGGCUGUCCUGUUAAUUUCUGCCAUCUGUGGUCAGUUAAAGUUAAAUAAAUUGAUGUUACCAUUCUGAUAAUUUGAUCAUGUAAACCUUUUCUUUUGGUGCCUUAAGUACAAGGAACUACAGAAUGGUAUAUUUUUGAGGGGAGAAAAUUUCUGGCAUAAUUCCUUCACCAUACAAGAUCAGCUUUUUUGUUAGCUGCAUUUUUAAGUCAUCUACAUGGGAUCCAGUUAUUUAAGUUUGAUUCAUCUUCUUUUAACCUGCUGUUAGAAGGAAGAUGUUCGUGCCUUAGCUUUAAGCUCACUGAUCACAGGAGCAGCAAAUCGAUCCAUUUCUUGAAGAUGGUUGGAAAUACCAUCAAAGGGAAAGCAGCGUCUGCGCCCAUUUCAUUUCAGGUUCUGAACUAGUUCUAAACUGAGAGGUAGAAGAAAGAUGCAUCAAACAGCUUUGCCAGGAAGCAACUUAAUAGCAUGGGAAAAACACCUGGACAAAGAAUGAAAUGAAAAAUGAGGUGAUGGGAGAGAGACCAAAUGCUUAAUCACUACGUUGUUUGGUGCAUCUUGGUCAUGUCCUAGGCUGAUCUCUAUCUACUAAAAAUGGCGUUAGAGCUACUGACGCUUUAUUUGUAGGAAAUAAAUGUUUACAAGAGGAAAGAGAUUACUUAAUUUUCAAGACCAAGAGUUCUUGCAAAGGAAUUUGUUAAACAACCGUAAAGCCAAGGAGAAGUGCUUCACAGCAGCGGUGACGGAAGAGCUCUGACUGAGGAUUCACAGACCAUGUGCAAAACUAUUUCAGACAGUUCUUAAUCACUAGCUUGAAAACCAGCAGGCACUCUGAAUGCCAGGGGUAUCAAGGUGAAUGUCACAUACACUGCAAAGAGUAUUUUCUUUUUUAAUUGGCAAUGCUUGAAAAAGGUGGCAGAGGCUUUGCAGGCUAUUGGGAAGGUGCAGAAAUAUGGAGGUGAUACAGCACUAAUGCUGCACUUGUUGCAAAUGUACUCUCUCACAAAAUGUACUGAAAUACUGGAAAGUUUGCAGAACACUUCUCUUUAAGAGAGAGAAAAUAAAAGAACAAGUGAAACUUGGUCCAGAUUAGAUCACAAGUCUUUAAAACCAGAGAGGGAAGUGAAGAAGACAGCAAGAUGAAAGGGAAGAGGAGACAAAAGCAAUUUACAGCACUGUGAGUGCCAGACCCUCCGUGUGCACUCAUGCAGCUCCUCAGUUUGUGAGGACCCCAGAUGAGCCCCUCCUGAAAAGCAUUCCCUCUUCUAACAGGCGUGGGCAGUACAAAAGCAAUGAUCUGGACCAGCUGCAAACCUCAGCUCCUGAGCAUCUCAACACACCUACAUCAAGUAUGGCCACCUCUGUUCCAAAAUUGGUGAUCCUUAGAACACCCCGGGAGCAGGCUUAGCUGGAACACUAACACACAAACUUGCGUGCAGCAGUAGCAGGCAGUGAAGGUACCACCUCCUUCCACGGAGCACAGAGCCAGAGCCCUGCAGCCAGCCGCUCCCCUGGGAUGGCAAGAUGAUCCCAGUGGUCUUCUGCAGCCUUAAUGACUCUUUGAUUCUCUAUUUCUGAGGGAACUCAAGCAGCCCUUGAAAAGAGCAACUAGCUGUGAGGAGCAAAGAGGAAACUGCUGCAGAAAACAAACAGCAGAUAGAGUUAAUGGAUUUUCUUACAAGCUGCACGUUUUCUUGACAAGGAACUGCGGAGACCAUUGCUGUAAAGGCCUACAAAGGAUUCAGAAUACUGCUGGGUCAGCAAUCUUUGCCUUCGGUUUGUGUUGCAGAGCAGUAUUUGCAAGCUCAGGCAAAAGUCUAAUUGCAGUAUUACAGUACAGUGACAAACCUGAAUAAAAUUGCCUCUUUGAGAAAACUGAGGUAUGUGCAAACUGAAAUUAAAAAAAAAAAAAGAACACAUUACUUGUCUAAGACGCAUUCGUUCAUUCCUUCUCCUAAGUGGUUUAUCAAUGGGAGAUGCGCCUGCACGAAAUAACUUCUAUUUCUACACAGGAAUAUAUUUAAAGGAAAAUCUGAAUGAAAACAACAGAGCAGGCUAAGGGAGUUUAUGAGUAGAGAUACUUAGGCAUACAUCUUAAGGCUACAAACAUGCUAUGUUCUUACUGCUGCUGACAGCGUGGUCUGUAAAUGAUGGCUGGCAAAUACGGCAGAUAAUCUCAUGGGACCAGAAGAAUGACUUGAAGCUCUAGAUGCUGAAGCAGAAUCCAGAACAGCCCUGCCACUGUAACUGAACAGUACCUUAAAUGACAAGGUCUGCUCCAAAAGUAAUGCCUCCUAUUUUAUUCUGCUGUCCCGUGACUUCAGAGGCGGAUGUUGGUGGUAAAGGUUGAACCUUCCCACUGAUAUCCCAUCAUAAUUUGCUGCUCUGUGACAGAUGGCAGCAGAGGGGAAGUCUGACAAAAUAGCAUCCAACAUGGAAGUACACAUGAAGCAGAAGUGUGUCAUGGAAUUCCUCCAUAUGGAAAAAAUGGCACCCACUGACGUUCAUCGACACUUGUUGAAUGCUUACAGAGACCACACAGUGGAUGGAUGCAAGCACAGUGAGGGUUGGGGGGUGUAUUUCAGCAGUGGCAACAGAAACAUGAAAGACAAGACACAUUCCAGACAGCCAUGCGCAUCUGUCACACCACAAAAUAAAGAGCAUCCUGAUCAGCUCAUCAGAGAGAAUCGGCUGAUUAUGAUCAGAGAAUUGUGCACAGAGGUGAAUAUCAGCCUCAAUGAAUUAGAAACAGUAGUGGCAACAUUGAAAAAUCAUGACGUUUGCACUAGUUGGGUCCCACAAGUGGUCACAUAGGAACAGAAAUAACACUGUAUGCAUGUUUGUCAGGACCAAGCGAACCAAUACGAGGCUGAAGGUGACAGUUCCAUGGACCACAUCACGACUAGUGAUGAGACGUGGUGUCACCAGCAAGAGCUAGAGUAAAAACAAUAGUCAAUGGAGAGGCAACAUGUGAGUUCCUCACUGAAGACAAAGUUCAAGAUGCAGCCCUCAGCAGGUAGAAGUGAUGUGCACUGUUUUUUUGGAUAGGAAAGGCAUGGUCCUUCUGGAUUUACUGGAACGCAGCAAGCCAUCAUCUCUUACCGCUACACUGCAACAGUGACUGAGCCGAAGGCUUGCACUUCCAGAGUUUCCUAUUUCUCUAUCAAAGAGUGUUG